GUAGGUGGCAAGCGUUGUCCGGAAUUAUUGGGCGUAAAGCGCGCGCAGGCGGUUCUUUAAGUCUGAUGUGAAGGCCCACGGCUCAACCGUGGAGGGUCAUUGGAAACUGGAGAACUUGAGUACAGAAGAGGAAAGCGGAAUUCCACGUGUAGCGGUGAAAUGCGUAGAGAUGUGGAGGAACACCAGUGGCGAAGGCGGCUUUCUGGUCUGUAACUGACGCUGAGGCGCGAAAGCGUGGGGAGCAAACAGGAUUAGAUACCCUGGUAGUCCACGCCGUAAACGAUGAGUGCUAAGUGUUAGGGGGGUUUCCGCCCCCCUUAGUGCUGCAGCUAACGCAUUAAGCACUCCGCCUGGGAUACGGCCGCAAGGCUG
rnacentral:rRNA from 1 species